rnacentral:tRNA from 2 species
GCCGAUAUAGCUCAGUUGGUAAGAGCAACUGAUUUGUAAUCAGUAGGUCAAAGGUUCGAUUCCUUUUAUCGGCU